GAUUUUUUUUUUCUCCUGAAGCAACUCUAUAAUUUCCAGAUGGCAGAAACAUCAGUAUUUUCAUGAGGAAGCAACAUGGCUGCCCAUAAUGGAACAUCACCAUCUCAGAAAAAUCAAAAUUUCAGGAAGGAGUUUUUAUAACCGAGUACUACUUAUUCCAAUUGGCACACAAGACAUGUCUAAAUCACCAAGUUUGAGGGAAGCAAAAUGAUUAUCAAGUGGAAGACAUGUGGCUUCUUCAGGGAAUGAGAAAUUGAAACCUACAAGAUGAAAUUUAUCAACUUUCAUAAAGUCGGCUUCAACCAUCAUAAAACUGUUAAACUUCUCAUUAUCAUUCUACCGCAGUUAUUUCUCGAACUCUGGUCUGGC
rnacentral:lncRNA from 1 species